CAGAGAUCUAUCAAACCAUCCUGCAGCAGUGAAGAUGAAGAGACGAUCAGAUGUUCAAUACAAGAACUACAGGGCACAAAAUGAAGCUGGUAGGAGUCAGGUUCAAAAAAGAGCAAACAUUUGGCUCUAAAAAAAAAUCAAGAAAGACCUGCCAGAAAAAUCUGCUCUAUGCAGUUUGUACAGUGCCCCUGCUUUCCUUGCAGAAAAACAGUUUUAACUGCUGAGCUGCUGACAUUAUUUAUUUGGAUUUAUAUACACCAACUACACUACAGCUGAAUUGAAGAUGGGUAAAAAUAGCACACACCCCACAAAACGAAUAUAUGAGUUCAUCUCCAUAGCAUUGUAUUCAUUCUGGCAACUAAGCAGUUGUUGCCUUAUUCGGGAAACUUCACUGGAGGAUUCUUCAGGGAACUGUUCUGCUUUUUCCAGUUCAUGUUGUUGUUGUUCCAGUUCUACACUAAGACGUUUGGCUUCCUGCAACAGCUGGAUCUCAGAUUCCUGUAAACUACAUUAAAUAGAAAAAUUUAGAACUAGGCAAUGAGAAGCAUAAGCUUUGUAUUUAUACUUCUUUAUCUACCUAUAAUAUUUAA